AGUGAACGCUGGCGGUAGGCCUAACACAUGCAAGUCGAACGGCAGCACAGUAAGAGCUUGCUCUUACGGGUGGCGAGUGGCGGACGGGUGAGGAAUACAUCGGAAUCUACUUUUUCGUGGGGGAUAACGUAGGGAAACUUACGCUAAUACCGCAUACGACCUACGGGUGAAAGCAGGGGAUCUUCGGACCUUGCGCGAUUGAAUGAGCCGAUGUCGGAUUAGCUAGUUGGCGGGGUAAAGGCCCACCGAGGCGACGAUCCGUAGCUGGUCUGAGAGGAUGAUCAGCCACACUGGAACUGAGACACGGUCCAGACUCCUACGGGAGGCAGCAGUGGGGAAUAUUGGACAAUGGGCGCAAGCCUGAUCCAGCCAUACCGCGUGGGUGAAGAAGGCCUUCGGGUUGUAAAGCCCUUUUGUUGGGAAAGAAAAGCAGCAGGUUAAUACCUCGCUGUUCUGACGGUACCCAAAGAAUAAGCACCGGCUAACUUCGUG
rnacentral:rRNA from 1 species